CACUGAUGGAUGAGCCUGCGGCGCAUUAGCUAGUUGGUAGGGUAAAGGCCUACCAAGGCGACGAUGCGUAGCCGACCUGAGAGGGUGAACGGCCACACUGGGACUGAGACACGGCCCAGACUCCUACGGGAGGCAGCAGUAGGGAAUCUUCGGCAAUGGGCGAAAGCCUGACCGAGCAACGCCGCGUGAAUGAUGAAGGCCUUCGGGUUGUAAAAUUCUGUUAUAAGGGAAGAAUGGCUCUAGUAGGAAAUGGCUAGAGUGUGACGGUACCUUAUGAGAAAGCCACGGCUAACUACGUGCCAGCAGCCGCGGUAAUACGUAGGUGGCGAGCGUUAUCCGGAAUUAUUGGGCGUAAAGAGCGCGCAGGUGGUUGAUUAAGUCUGAUGUGAAAGCCCACGGCUUAACCGUGGAGGGUCAUGGAAACUGGUCAACUUGAGUGCAGAAGAGGGAAGUGGAAUUCCAUGUGUAGCGGUGAAAUGCGUAGAGCUAUGGAGGAACACCAGUGGCGAAGGCGGCUUCCUGGUCUGUAACUGAC
rnacentral:rRNA from 1 species